rnacentral:lncRNA from 1 species
GCCUAGGUGAAGGGGACGGAGAGCGAGGGGUGAGCCCUGGUGAGGAACCUGAAAGCCAGGAUGGCUGGCAUGGUGCUGGGAGUGGGUGCUGGCGUGUUCCUCCUCGCUCUGCUCUGGGUGUUGGUGCUGCUGCUGUGUGUGCUGUUAUGCAGAGCCUCUGGGAUAGCUAGGUUCUCCAUCAUCUUCGUCUUCCUGGGUGCUCUGAUCAUCACCACAGUUCUAUUGCUUUUCCCUCGAGCCAGUGAAUUCCCGGCCCCACAAGGUGAAAUGAAGAUUGUGGAUGCCUUUUUCAUCGGCCGCUAUGUCCUGCUGGCUUUUCUCAGUGCUGUCUUUCUUGGAGGCCUCUUCCUGCUUCUUACUCAUCAUGUGCUGGAGCCAAUCUAUGCCAAGCCACUGAGGUCCUGCUGAGCGUGGUAACGGAAGCACGGGACAUGUUGGCAUCAUGGAUGAUAAGCACAAAGGCACUCUCCGGAGCCUCGGCCACCUUCAUGUCUUCAGACUAGAGGAAUAACCAUUUGUUGCUAAGGCAGUCCUCCUGAGCCUUGGCCUUCAGAAACUCAGUAGCAAAGCAGAGUCCAUGGAUGUAAAUUGUCACCAUCAAGACAGGCACAACUGUCUUCUCAGAACCCACACUCAGGAUUUCUGUCUGUUUUGAAUGAAUAGCAGUGACAGUGAUCCGCCUUGGGUAAAUGUUCAGUCAAGCUGUGAGUAGUGGACUUGGGGGAAAGGAGUUUUGGGCUCUGUUGUCCAACAGAAGAAGCCGGUCCUUUUUAAUAACGUAUAAAUAAAGUUCUCAGUUGAGUAUUUGGAACCGUUUGGAAGAGAAAGGCACUCAAACAUGAAAUUGCUUUAAUGAGAUAGUAUGGAAGACGUAUGAGACAUCGUUUGUUGACCAUUCCUUAUGUGCAGUCCCACUGAGCUCUGUAAAGACAGUGUGUGGCACUGCCUGAGUUCCAACAACGCAAUAAACAAACUCAUGGCUACAGCUUUUGGGUAUCUACAUUUGAAGUUUGCUCAGAGAUUAGAAGGGAGGUACGGAAAUGUUAGAUGUCUUCCUGCCAUGUAUUUUGGGUCUUUUUCUCCCAAAUUUGGUGGCCUUCGGAUGCUUUAAGUGUUUAGUAUUGUGUAUGUGUCCACUUUGGGCUUUGGCCCUUUCUAGUUUCUUUCUUUGGCAGUAUUAUACAUUGAACCCAUGGCCUCAUACAAGUACACUACUAUCCUAUCCCUCUACUUACAAUUUUUGU